AUGGAGGUGAAGGCCGGCACGGCCGGCGCCGACGAGCAGCGGGCGGUGGACGCGGAGAGGCGGGACGGGGAGGGCGAGAUGAACGGCGGGAAGAAGGCGGGCGUGGUGGUGGGCGUGUUCUCGGCGGCGGCGGUGCUGUGCCUGGCCGCCGUGGUGUACCGGAAGCGGCAGGCCAACAUCCGGCGGUCCAGGUACGCCGACUACUCGGCGCGGCUCGAGCUCGUCUGA
rnacentral:rRNA from 1 species